rnacentral:rRNA from 1 species
UACGGAAGGGGGCUAGCGUUGUUCGGAAUCACUGGGCGUAAAGGGCGCGUAGGCGGCUUUAUAAGUCGGGGGUGAAAGCCUGUGGCUCAACCACAGAAUUGCCUUCGAUACUGUAGAGCUUGAGACCGGAAGAGGUAAGUGGAACUGCGAGUGUAGAGGUGAAAUUCGUAGAUAUUCGCAAGAACACCAGUGGCGAAGGCGGCUUACUGGUCCGGUUCUGACGCUGAGGCGCGAAAGCGUGGGGAGCAAACAGG